rnacentral:rRNA from 1 species
UAGGGAAUCUUCCGCAAUGGGCGAAAGCCUGACGGAGCAACGCCGCGUGAGUGAUGAAGGUCUUCGGAUCGUAAAACUCUGUUAUUAGGGAAGAACAAAUGUGUAAGUAACUAUGCACGUCUUGACGGUACCUAAUCAGAAAGCCACGGCUAACUACGUGCCAGCAGCCGCGGUAAUACGUAGGUGGCAAGCGUUCUCCGGAAUUAUUGGGCGUAAAGCGCGCGUAGGCGGUUUUUUAAGUCUGAUGUGAAAGCCCACGGCUCAACCGUGGAGGGUCAUUGGAAACUGGAAAACUUGAGUGCAGAAAAGGAAAGUGGAAUUCCAUGUGUAGCGGUGAAAUGCGCAGAGAUAUGGAGGAACACCAGUGGCGAAGGCGACUUUCUGGUCUGUAACUGACGCUGAUGUGCGAAAGCGUGGGGAUCAAACAGG